rnacentral:rRNA from 1 species
GACGAACGCUGGCGGCGUGCUUAACACAUGCAAGUCGAACGGUGAAGCGCCUUCCUUUUUGGUGGGUGUGGAUGAGUGGCGAACGGGUGAGUAACACGUGAGUAACCUGCCCCCUUCUUCUGGAUAACCGCAUGAAAGUGUGGCUAAUACGGGAUAUUCUGGGUCUGUCGCAUGAUGGGUCUGGGAAAGAUAUUGUUUCGGUGGGGGAUGGGCUCGCGGCCUAUCAGCUUGUUGGUGGGGUGAUGGCCUACCAAGGCGGUGACGGCUAGCCGGCCUGAGAGGGUGGACGGUCACACUGGGACUGAGACACGGCCCAGACUCCUACGGGAGGCAGCAGUGGGGAAUAUGGCACAAUGGGCGCAAGUCUGAUGCAGCGACGCCGCGUGAGGGAUGGAGGCCUUCGGGUUGUGAACCUCUUUCGCCAGUGAAGCAGGCCUGCCUCGUUUGUGGGUGGGUUGACGGUAGCUGGAUAAGAAGCGCCGGCUAACUACGUG